GGAGAGAUGUCCGAGCGGCUGAAGGAGCACGACUGGAAAUCGUGUGCGCUGUUAAUAGCGGCGCCGAGGGUUCAAAUCCCUCUCUCUCCGCCA
rnacentral:tRNA from 1 species